AUUCAGUUGAUGAGUUCCAAAUAGAAUGAAACUCGAGUCUUAAAU
rnacentral:hammerhead_ribozyme from 1 species